GAUGGCUCCGCGGCCCAUCAGGUAGACGGCGGGGUGACGGCCCACCGUGCCGACAACGGGUAGCCGGGUUGAGAGACCGACCGGCCAGAUUGGGACUGAGACACGGCCCAGACUCCUACGGGAGGCAGCAGUGGGGAAUCUUGCGCAAUGGGGGGAACCCUGACGCAGCGACGCCGCGUGCGGGACGGAGGCCUUCGGGUCGUAAACCGCUUUCAGCAGGGAAGAGUCAAGACUGUACCUGCAGAAGAAGCCCCGGCUAACUACGUGCCAGCAGCCGCGGUAAAACGUAGGUCACAAGCGUUGUCCGGAAUUACUGGGUGUAAAGGGAGCGCAGGCGGGAAGACAAGUUGGAAGUGAAAUCCAUGGGCUCAACCCAUGAACUGCUUUCAAAACUGUUUUUCUUGAGUAGUGCAGAGGUAGGCGGAAUUCCCGGUGUAGCGGUGGAAUGCGUAGAUAUCGGGAGGAACACCAGUGGCGAAGGCGGCCUACUGGGCACCAACUGACGCUGAGGCUCGAAAGUGUGGGUAGCAAACAGGAUUAGAUACCCUGGUAGUCCACACUGUAAACGAUGAUUACUUAGGUGUGGGAGGAUUGACCCCUUCAGUGCCGCAGUUAACACAAUAAGUAAUCCACCUGGGGAGUACGACCGCAAGGUUGAAACUCAAAGGAAUUGACGGGGGCCCGCACAAGCAGGUGGAGUAUGUGGUUUAAUUCGACGCAACGCGAAGAACCUUACCAAGUCUUGACAUCCUGCGACGAUGCUGGAAACAGUAUUUUCCUUCGGGACGCAGAGACAGGUGGUGCAUGGUUGUCGUCAGCUCGUGUCGUGAGAUGUUGGGUUAAGUCCCGCAACGAGCGCAACCCUUACUGUCAGUUACUACGCAAGAGGACUCUGGCAGGACUGCCGUUGACAAAACGGAGGAAGGUGGGGAUGACGUCAAAUCAUCAUGCCCUUUAUGACUUGGGCUACACACGUACUACAAUGGCGUUAAACAAAGAGAAGCAAGACCGCGAGGUGGAGCAAAACUCAGAAACAACGUCCCAGUUCGGACUGCAGGCUGCAACUCGCCUGCACGAAGUCGGAAUUGCUAGUAAUCGUGGAUCAGCAUGCCACGGUGAAUACGUUCCCGGGCCUUGCACUAACCGCCCGUCA
rnacentral:rRNA from 1 species